CUGAGUUUCCAAAAAGAUCAGAUAUUCAUCAUGGCCUGGUCUCUGCUCUUGGCUUUCUUCUUCUUAUGGUGCACAGGAAUCAAUUCACAGUAUACCUUGACUCAACCUUCUGCAGAAUCACUUCCCCUGAGACAACCAGCAAAGAUCUCAUGUACCAUGAGCCGAGACAGCCAAGUGGGAAGCUAUACCAUAUCUUGGUACCAACAGAAGGCUGGAGAGAGCCCCAAAUACCUUCUUUAUGAUAGUGGCAGCAAUGGCAGAUUCAAGGGGUCCAAGGACACCUCAGCCAAUGUAGCCUAUUUAACCAUUUCAAACCUCCAGGCUGAGGAUGAGGCCAAUUACUAUUGUGGUGGUGGUUACAGCAGUGGCAGCAACUGGUGGUAUCACAGUGAUAAACUCACAUGCAGAA